GGUGGCGGUGACCGCCCCCGGCCCCGCUCCGCCGGCUAGUGGGGAAGGGAGCGGGACACCUUCGCCGGUGCUGCAAUUAUCCUGCGAAGUGUGGAGAAAACACCUGGUGUCCGCUUUUUAACCCUUUCAAGUUCUUAUUCGGAUUAAGCAGGCAAGCUUGCUUUCCCGACUGCGAUACAGGCAAGCUCGCUCUUCCUUCGCGACCAAGUUAUGUCCUGUGCAGAAUCUGGCCCACAUCUGUGACGACGCUGCGUGCUUGUGAGGCUGCUAACUGAUCUGCUUUUGCAAAGGGGGAUGUGAUGGUAGGAUCAGCAUUUGUGCAGUAGGAAGAGCGCGACUGCCAUCUUCUUCAUUUCCUCUGUUGCUGCGCAGGGUAUUUAUUUACACCCGAAGCCCGACCUACGCGCAGAGCAGUUUCUGGAGCCAUACGUGUGCCGACUGCUGCGGCAGAACGCUGAGCUGCCCGCCGGAGGUCUUCGACGAGAAUGCCCUGUUGAUCUCCCCGCUGGCACCGCGGCGGUGAUGGUGCUGUCUGUCCUGUCACCAGUUGAGCAGAGAGGUGGCAGUGCUUGGGAGCACAGUAAUGUGUAAAGGCUUACCUGGCGAUAGUUGCUUCCUGCUGUGUAGAACGCUUUAAGAAAGGCGCCUUCCUGAGACCUCUGCCUCGUCCACAAGACACACAUUCAGCUUUCAGCUCUGCCUGCAGUCGAACACAAAGACCUGGAGGAGACCGGCGCCGCGGCCCCAGCGAGG